rnacentral:rRNA from 1 species
UACGUAUGGUGCAAGCGUUAUCCGGAUUUACUGGGCGUAAAGGGAGCGCAGGCGACGCGCCAAGUCUGAUGUGAAACCCCGGGGCUCAACCCCGGGCAUGCAUUGGAAACUGGCGGGCUGGAGUGCCGGAGAGGUAAGCGGAAUUCCUAGUGUAGCGGUGAAAUGCGUAGAUAUUAGGAGGAACACCAGUGGCGAAGGCGGCUUACUGGACGGCAACUGACGCUGAGGCUCGAAAGCGUGGGGAGCAAACAGG